UACAGAGGGUGCGAGCGUUAAUCGGAAUUACUGGGCGUAAAGGGCGCGUAGGCGGUCUCUUAAGCGUGUGGUGAAAGCCCGGGGCUCAACUCCGGGUCGGCCGUGCGAACUGGGGGACUGGAGCUUGUCAGAGGCAGGCGGAAUUCCGGGUGUAGCGGUGGAAUGCGUAGAGAUCCGGAAGAACACCGGUGGCGAAGGCGGCCUGCUGGGACAGUGCUGACGCUGAGGCGCGACAGCGUGGGGAGCAAACAGG
rnacentral:rRNA from 1 species